CACGUUUGAAUGCGACAACAGUUAAAAAGGUAAGCUGGGUUGAUGUUAGACUCUGAAUAUGUAUCGAAAUAAUUGAUAUAAUAAUAUAAAAUACUAAUGAAUAACGAAGACAAUAAUGGUCUUCUGUGAAUAGCUUCCAUUACGUUAGCUGUCACGUUAGCUAGCUAUAGUUCAGAAGAAUUAACGUAAAUAUUAGAAAGCCGAGUUUGACCGUUGUAUGAACUACAGUAGCUAGCUAGCUAACGUUAGCUAACGUUAUGUCCUAACUAGACAUAACUAUGUUUGUAUUAUUUCCUGAACUAUAUUCUGUCCUAUAUAUUGUAUAUCGUUUCCAUAACGUCAACAUGGCUUCACACUCAUUAACGUAAGUUUCCAAUCUAGAGCAGUUAUCGCACUUUUGUGAGAAUGAACUAGCUAGCUUCGUUGACGCGAGCGAACUAACUAAGGACGGUGACCUGUCCAGACGAGACUGAAUCUGUCAAUGACAGAACAUGGACACGAUGCAAUUGGGAUCAAGAAGAAGAAAUUCUGAAGUAUAUCGAUGGUCAGUGGAGGAUGUCUGUCAGUGGCUUCAGUAAAAUCAGUUGGAGGACUACACCUCUCCUUUCCAAGCCAUGCACAUGCCUAUGUGGUUGAGGAAAGUCUCCAGUGGGCAGCCGUGGUGCCUGGGGAGGAACUAGCAUUCCAUGGUCUGGACAGCUACCUUGAUCCCGAGGGGAGACUCACAAUCCCUCUCGGGCAUUGGAUUUGCAGACCACCUCAUCGAUGGUGAGACACUCAUGGGCUUGAACGGCAGGAUGAUCGAACAGCUGUUUCCUGUCAUGAAAACUCAAGUUCGAUUUGCUAAAUUAAUUGGAAAUUUAAAGAAGUAUGUAGCUGUGAGCUCUCUCCAACAAGACCAACCCACCACAAUUUGCUACCAGCCCCAACUACCAGCCAACAACCAACCAACAACCACCAACCAACACAAAACUGUGGCCCACAAUAUUCACCCUUCCUGAGUUCCCCACAGUCCUGCAGUGUAAACUCAACCAACAGAGUGAAGAUUUCCACUCUCCCACUCAACAGUCCAAGUGGAGGAGCCAAAUCAUCCAAGUUUAAUUUGAUACCAUGUGCACAUAUACCUGGUACCCUACAAGCAGACAAUAUACCGAUGUCUGCACAUAAUUGGUGGCCAACUACCCAUUUCUAAGGGACCGUUGUGAUGAGUGUGAUGGAAAGGAGUCAGGCGCAGGAGGUGGUUAGUAAGCCGGUGACGACGAACGCUGAAGCCUGCCCGAACAAGGAGGGGAGGCAGCCUCGGCCGAAGUCGUGACAACAGUACAGGACAAGGAUAUGAAUCAUGGCAUGGGAUGAUAAAAAAUAAAUUCAAAAAAGAGGUUGCAAUCAUCAGAGCUAAGUUCACACAGAAAAUGAGUUCUGAUGGGAAUGCAGCACCAGCAUCAAAGACAGCUAAGGUGACUAAUGACGUGCAUGAUGUGGAGCUACUUGGGGGCGUGUCUGCUACACCACUUUUGAACCAAGCAUUGAUACAGAGUGCAGAGGACACUUUCAGUGUGACAAAGCACAUCAAAGAAUGAGGGAGGAAUGCAAAAGAAACCAUCCUGACCGUAGCCUCCUGCAGGACAAAAUGAAGAGGAACCCGGUGGAAAGAUACCAUUUUAUCGGCACCCACCACACCAAAGAGAUCCUUAAUGAGUUUCCUGCACAGCUGCAUUAUCUUCUCAGAAAUGAAUCAAAAAGAUAAUUCAAGGUUAGUGGCAAAAUGCUAGCAGAGGUAGAGAGGCGAGGCAGGGGUGAGGACAUCAUCCUGCUGUUUCGACAGUCCCUGAAGGACAAUACAGAAGAGGCACACAGGGGACUCGAGACCACAGCAGCGAUCCUGCUCUUGCCCUACCUCUUCCGUGACAAGAUUUCACCGCUCCCAACUCCUUUACAGCACAUCGGCGGAAAUCCAUUUCCCCAUGAGAGUGAAAUCACACUGGCCUUUGAUGGGGAGAACAUCCACGCUCUAGAGGACGUCCCCAUGGGAAUUGGGGCUCUGCUAGGGCUGAUUUUUUUAUUUUAAGUUAAAUUUCCCAAAAAUGUCAGAAAACACUUAUGUUCUAAUGUUACUGUGUUCUGGGGAUAAGAGAAGUUGGGGUGAAGUUACCAGGGCCGGUCAUAAAGAUGGCAAACUUCCUAACAUAACUAAGUGGUUGUUGGGCAAGUGGUUGUUGGACACACAUACUAAAGCAACAAAAUGCAAGUCUACAAUAUUGUUAGUUUACCGAUGAUUCAUUUUUAAUGUAUGUUGUUUUUAUCAUUAUUUUAAUUUUUAAAAUUGUAAUGAAAAGCUCUAUACACAAAAAAUUAGGGGUCCAGAAUGAUUUUGCAGUGCAUGGUGAUCAAACAGGUUUCCUGUUAUAUUUAUGAAAGAGAUUGGUGUUUUUUCACCAUCUAAUCACAGCAUGGGGUACUUUACACCACUGCUUAAUGGUUUCAUUUCGGAGAGACAAAUAAUCAUGUUUUGUUGCAAAACGCCAC